rnacentral:rRNA from 1 species
UUAAAAGAUGACACAAAAGUUUUUGAAAAAUCUACAUUCAAAUUUGUAGAAGGAUAUAAAAUAUACCUGACAGAAUCUAAAGAAUCUGGAAUUAAACAAAUGGACAAUGUCAUAAAAUAUUUUGAGUUUAUUGAAUCUAAAAGUAUUGCUUUAUAUUUUCAAAAACGAUUAAAUGAGCUGAUAGAUUAAAUAGCAUUUUCUCUGUUGAGAUAUUGUUUUUAAAAUAUUGUACUAAAUGAUUGAUGCUAUGUGGAAAUACAAAAAAAUGUUUUUGAUACGAAGUUGACCUGUAUUUUUUAUACUAAUCAUUUUCGUAUUUUUUGUAUUAAACGAUAUAAGUUUGUUGUAAACUUACAAGGAAUAAAGACAUUAAAAAAUAACAGUAUAUCUAUUUGUUUUAUAUAUUUUACGAAUUUUGCAUAAAUCUCUUUCUAGUAAUGUGUUGUAACUCUGCUAUAAUAGAUUUAUUCCUUUUUGUGUUUACACAAUUUAUUUUAUACUACCAAAAAAAGGUCAGGAUUUUGUUCCUGACCUUUGACAACUUUACCGAUUCUUUAGUUCUACAUAGCGCUUGUACCAAAUGUUUACAUAGGCUUCUGAGAAAGGACCACGUCCAUUGUUAAUCCAAUCAACAAGAAUUUUGACAUGUUCUUUUAAAAUAUAGUCCAAGUCAUCAGAAUAAUUCAUUUUGCGUUUGUGACGCUCGUACUCUUCAACGUCCAAGAGACGUUUUUCCCCAUCUGUAAAAAUUUUAACAUCCAAAUCGUAAUCAAUAUACUUCAGUGCUUCUUCAUCCAGAUAGUAGGGGCUAGCCAUAUUGCAAUAGUAAGAAGUUCCAUUAUCACGAAUCAUGGCAAUGAUAUUAAACCAAUAUUUCUUGUGAAAGUAAACAAUAGCCGGUUCUCGAGUGACCCAACGACGACCAUCACUUUCGGUAACAAGUGUAUGAUCGUUGACACCAAUAAUGGCGUUUUCUGUUGUUUUUAGUACCAUGGUGUCCCGCCAAGUUCGGUGGAGACUCCCAUCAUGCUUAUAACUUUGAAUUGUAAUAAAGUCGCCUUCUUUUGGAAGCUUCAUAACUAACCAACUUUCUACAAUUUAUAAGUUUAUCAUUUACUAUUGUACCAUAAAAUUACCUAAAAUCUGUGAAUUUCACUUGGAAAUAUUAAAGAUAUUCUCUAAGAGCGCUUGCUAUAUCCGAAAAAUCGUAGCCCUUUCGUGCUAAAACUUGAGUUAAACGCUGCUUCAGUUCGUAUCCUUCAUACUUUCGAGCAUACUUAGUAUAUUGCUUAUCAAGUUCCUUGAAGAUGAGUUCUUGAGUCGUUUCUUGGUCAACUUGGCUAUCUAAGUCGUCAAAGGCAAUUUUAGCAUCAGAAUAAGAGAAGCCCUUGUUAGUCAAGUUCUGGAUAAUCUUAUCUUGCAGGGCACGAGCUGGAAGUUUUCCCUCAUAUUUUUUCAAUAGUUUAUUAGCUACACGUUGAGCAACUUCAGAAAAAUCAAAUUCUUUCAAGUUCUCUUCUAUAGUAGAUUUUGAAAUCCCUUUUUGAGCUAGUUUCUGAGUCAGCACAUAAGGACCCUUGUCUCCUGAAAGUUGAUUGGUAUUGAUGAUAGCAUAAGCGUACUGACCAUCAUUAAUCCACUUAUCUUCUUUAAGAUUAGCAAUAACUUGAGAAACGAUGUUUUUAUCAAUAUCGUAUUUUUUCAGAUAUUCUCUGACUUCUUUUUCAGUGCGUGCUUUAAAGGAUAAGUGGUAGAGGGCCAGAUUCUUACCAUAAGAAAAUUGAGCAAAGUCUUGAAUCUCUUUCAAUUCCUCUUCGCUUAUCACCUUAUCUCUCGAUAACAUAAAACGAACAAUUGUAUCUUCGGUGAUAUAGCAUUUGUCGCCAUUAUCAAGCUCCAUCAGAUAGAGUCUUUUUUUCUUUUCAAGUUUUGUGAUUUUCAUAGCUCUAUUAUAACUCAAAAUGUGAUAAGAUAGGGGUAUGAAUCUGAAAGUGAAACAAAAAAUACCAUUAAAAAUCAAGCGCAUGGGAAUUAACGGUGAGGGAAUCGGCUUUUACCAAAAAACAUUAGUCUUUGUACCAGGAGCUCUCAAAGGCGAAGAUAUCUAUUGUCAGAUUACUUCUAUUAGACGCAACUUUGUUGAAGCAAAAUUACUGAAGGUCAACAAGAAGUCUAAAUUUCGAAUUGUGCCAUCUUGUACUAUUUAUAAUGAAUGCGGAGGCUGCCAAAUCAUGCACCUGCAUUAUGAUAAGCAGCUGGAGUUCAAGACGGACUUACUUCAUCAAGCGCUGAAAAAAUUUGCUCCUGCAGGAUAUGAAAAUUAUGAAAUUCGUCCAACUAUUGGAAUGCAGGAACCAAAAUAUUACAGAGCUAAGUUACAAUUUCAGACUCGAAAAUUUAAAAAUCAGGUCAAGGCGGGCUUAUAUGCACAAAACUCUCACUAUUUAGUAGAGUUGAAAGACUGCCUGGUACAAGAUAAGGAAACCCAAGUGAUUGCUAAUCGCUUAGCAGAAUUACUUACUUAUCACCAGAUUCCAAUCACGGAUGAGAGAAAAGUUCUAGGUGUCCGUACUAUUAUGGUCCGACGCGCGAGAAAGACCGGACAGGUUCAGAUUAUUAUUGUUACAAACCGCCAGCUUAAUUUAACUCAAUUGGUAAAAGAGUUGGUUAAAGAUUUCCCAGAAGUUGUGACAGUAGCUGUUAAUACAAAUACAGCUAAAACCAGUGAGAUAUAUGGUGAAAAGACAGAGAUUAUCUGGGGGCAAGAGAGUAUUCAAGAAGGUGUACUCAAUUAUGAAUUUUCACUAUCCCCUCGAGCUUUUUAUCAACUAAAUCCUGAGCAAACAGAAGUCCUCUAUAGCGAAGCAGUAAAAGCGCUGGAUGUUGAUAAAGAAGACCAUUUGAUUGACGCUUAUUGUGGAGUUGGAACGAUUGGAUUUGCCUUUGCAAAGAAAGUAAAAACACUCAGAGGUAUGGAUAUUAUUCCAGAAGCUAUUGAAGAUGCCAAGCGAAAUGCUAAAAGAAUGGGAUUUGACAAUACUCAUUAUGAAGCUGGAACGGCAGAAGAGAUUAUUCCUCGUUGGUACAAGGAAGGCUACCGAGCAGAUGCUUUGAUUGUUGACCCACCACGUACAGGUCUGGAUGAUAAGUUAUUAGAUACUAUUCUUACUUAUGUACCAGAAAAAAUGGUUUAUAUUUCUUGUAAUGUUUCGACCUUGGCUCGUGAUUUGGUACGCUUAGUAGAAGUCUAUGAUCUUCAUUAUAUCCAGUCGGUCGAUAUGUUCCCACAUACAGCUCGAACUGAAGCUGUUGUAAAAUUAAUAAAAAAAGUUUAAAAAAGUAGUUGACAAAGUUUGAAAAGACUGUAUAAUAGUAAGAGUUGAAAAUAACAACUCAGGUCCGUUGGUCAAGGGGUUAAGACACCGCCUUUUCACGGCGGUAACACGGGUUCGAAUCCCGUACGGACUAUGGUAUGUUGCGGUUGGAACACUUGAUGAAAAAAAGUUUAAAAAAACUUAAAAAUCUUCAAAAAAGUGUUGACAAGUGAAAGUGGCUGUGAUAUACUAAUAUAGUUGUCGCUUGAGAGAAGCAAGUGACAAAGACCUUUGAAAACUGAACAAGACGAACCAAUGUGCAGGGCGCUACAACAUAAGUUGUAGUACUGAACAAUGAAAAAAACAAUAAAUCUGUCAGUGACAGAAAUGAGUGAGAACUCAAACUUUUAAUGAGAGUUUGAUCCUGGCUCAGGACGAACGCUGGCGGCGUGCCUAAUACAUGCAAGUAGAACGCUGAAGGAGGAGUUUGCUUCUCUGGAUGAGUUGCGAACGGGUGAGAAUCCUGUCCACCGUAAGACUAAGGUUUCCAGGGGAAGGCUCGUCCGCCCUGGGUUAGUCGGGACCUAAGGAGAGACCGAAAGGUGUAUCCGAUGGACAACAGGUUGAUAUUCCUGUACUAGAGUAUGUAGUGAUGGAGGGACGCAGUAGGCUAACUAAAGCAGACGAUUGGAAGAGUCUGUCUAAGCAGUGAGGUGUGAAUUGAGUCAAAUGCUUAAUUCUAUAACAUUGAGCUGUGAUGGGGAGCGAAGUUUAGUAGCGAAGUUAGUGACGUCACACUGCCAAGAAAAGCUUCUAGCGUUUAAACAUACUCUACCCGUACCGCAAACCGACACAGGUAGUCGAGGCGAGUAGCCUCAGGUGAGCGAGAGAACUCUCGUUAAGGAACUCGGCAAAAUGACCCCGUAACUUCGGGAGAAGGGGUGCUGACUUAAAGUCAGCCGCAGUGAAUAGGCCCAAGCAACUGUUUAUCAAAAACACAGCUCUCUGCUAAAUCGUAAGAUGAUGUAUAGGGGGUGACGCCUGCCCGGUGCUGGAAGGUUAAGAGGAGUGCUUAGCGUAAGCGAAGGUAUGAAUUGAAGCCCCAGUAAACGGCGGCCGUAACUAUAACGGUCCUAAGGUAGCGAAAUUCCUUGUCGGGUAAGUUCCGACCCGCACGAAAGGCGUAAUGAUUUGGGCACUGUCUCAACGAGAGACUCGGUGAAAUUUUAGUACCUGUGAAGAUGCAGGUUACCCGCGACAGGACGGAAAGACCCCAUGGAGCUUUACUGCAGUUUGAUAUUGAGUGUCUGUACCACAUGUACAGGAUAGGUAGGAGUCUAAGAGAUCGGGACGCCAGUUUCGAAGGAGACGCUGUUGGGAUACUACCCUUGUGUUAUGGCCACUCUAACCCAGAUAGGUGAUCCCUAUCGGAGACAGUGUCUGACGGGCAGUUUGACUGGGGCGGUCGCCUCCUAAAAGGUAACGGAGGCGCCCAAAGGUUCCCUCAGAAUGGUUGGAAAUCAUUCGCAGAGUGUAAAGGUAUAAGGGAGCUUGACUGCGAGAGCUACAACUCGAGCAGGGACGAAAGUCGGGCUUAGUGAUCCGGUGGUUCCGUAUGGAAGGGCCAUCGCUCAACGGAUAAAAGCUACCCUGGGGAUAACAGGCUUAUCUCCCCCAAGAGUUCACAUCGACGGGGAGGUUUGGCACCUCGAUGUCGGCUCGUCGCAUCCUGGGGCUGUAGUCGGUCCCAAGGGUUGGGCUGUUCGCCCAUUAAAGCGGCACGCGAGCUGGGUUCAGAACGUCGUGAGACAGUUCGGUCCCUAUCCGUCGCGGGCGUAGGAAAUUUGAGAGGAUCUGCUCCUAGUACGAGAGGACCAGAGUGGACUUACCGCUGGUGUACCAGUUGUCUUGCCAAAGGCAUCGCUGGGUAGCUAUGUAGGGAAGGGAUAAACGCUGAAAGCAUCUAAGUGUGAAACCCACCUCAAGAUGAGAUUUCCCAUGAUUAUAUAUCAGUAAGAGCCCUGAGAGAUGAUCAGGUAGAUAGGUUAGAAGUGGAAGUGUGGCGACACAUGUAGCGGACUAAUACUAAUAGCUCGAGGACUUAUCCAA